GUCGAACCAAGCGGAGUAAACUUAUACAAAGUUAGGAAAAUUGUUGGCAAACUGGUUUAAACUGGUAGUUCUUUGGAAGGUAAAAGUUCUUUGGAAGAAGUCAAAAUGAAGAGUUUCAUGUUUUUUUUCCUUUUGGUGUUACAAAUAUGCUGUGUUUUUGUCUUGGCGGAUAUUUCUUCGGAAGGCCAAGAUGAUAUUGAGAAUAUUUUAACUAAAGUGGACACAAGUUCCACGGAUAGGAAAAAUCCUGUACGAGAAAAGCGGGGAUGGUUCAGCAACAACAACAACAACAAAACACAACAAUAAUAAUAAUAACAAUAACAACAACAAUAAUAACAACAAUAACAACAACAAUAACAACAACAACAACCGGUAUUGUACAGAACCUUGUUACUGUUGGAUCGGUGAUAAGCAUAACUCCAAAAUUUAUGUCGAUUAUCGAAAAAUCUCGUGUCGAGGAAGUUCGGAUUCACACGCAUGCGCAUUGGCGUGCCAGAGAAAGUGUGGAUACUAUAUCAACAGCUAUAGUUACCUAUGCAAAAAGAUUAAUGAGGUAUAUGAUUCUCAUCAAGGAGAACUUGGGUGUUACGCAAGUCACAGAGAUCCAACUUCAGUCCACGGGAGGAAGAGAAGCCCAAACAACA